CAAUAGCGUGUAUUAAAGUUGUUGCAGUUAAAAAGCUCGUAGUUGGAUUUCUGGUGGGAGCGAUCGGUCUGGCGCUUAGCGCGAGUACUUGCAUCGUCUCCGGCCAUCCUUGGGGAGAGUCUGUCUGGCAUUAGGUUGUCGGGCAGAGGAUCCUCAUCGUUUACUGUGAAAAAAUUAGAGUGUUCAAAGCAGGCUUAUGCCGUUGAAUAUAUUAGCAUGGAAUAAUAAGAUAGGACUUUGGUACUAUUUUGUUGGUUUGCGCACCAAAGUAAUGAUUAAUAGGGACAGUUGGGGGCAUUCGUAUUCCGUUGUCAGAGGUGAAAUUCUUGGAUUUACGGAAGACGAACUACUGCGAAAGCAUUUACCAAGGAUGUUUUCAUUA
rnacentral:rRNA from 1 species